rnacentral:misc_RNA from 1 species
CGCACCUUGCGCUCCUUGGUAUUCCGAGGAGCACACCUGUUUGAGUGUCGUGUAACUCUCAACCUACAAGUCCUUUGUUGGACUUUGUUAGGCUUGGAUAUUGGAGGUCUUUGCUGGCUCUUUACUAGUAGCCAGCUCCUCUUAAAUGCAUUAGCUUGGUUCCUCUGCGAAUCGGCUCUCGGUGUGAUAAAUGUCUACGCCGCGACCGUGAAGCGUUUAUGGGCGAGCUUCUAACAGUCUCUUUGUUGAGACAGUAAACACUUUGACAUCUGACCUCAAAUCAGGUGGGACUACCCGCUGAACUUAA